rnacentral:lncRNA from 1 species
CCCACUGGCUGGAGGCUCCGCCCACUCUCCUAGCAGUUCCAGCCUCGUCCUCCGGCCCAACUCCCUUCUUCCUCUUUCUUCACCUUCCUUUUUACUCUGGAAAGCACCCCCAGGACAAAGAUGACUUUUGGAAGAUUGCCCAAAACGACAGCUAGAGUGCGCUCUGGGCUCUGGGAGGUGGAGGAGAAAGGCGACAGGAGGAGUCCAUGACUUGUCCAGUGGUGCCUGGAGGAGCCUUGCACGCUCUAGAUCGCAAGCCAAGCGUCUGGUGCCAAGAGCUGUCAGGCAAAGGUCUGGUCAGCUGGAGAGACCUCUGGGGACACGGAGAGGUAGGACAGGUUUGCAGAGCGCUGGCAACUACGAUUGACAAUAAGGAUUGACAAUAAGGAUCUAUUGCCCGCGCGCGCUCGAUGCGUGAGCUGAAUUGGGAUGGAAGGGCCUGUUGAAGAGCUGGGAGGUGGGGGAGGAGGGAGCAGCGUUUAGGAGAGAGUUCUACUCUGGGGCCACGCCGUCACCGUCGACGUUAAUGUCAGUGGAAAGACGCGUGUCCCGCAGUUAGAUUAUGAAAAGGGAUCCAGGAAAUGAAAGGGGAGAGGCUAGAAGAUAAGAAACAACCAUGUGCUCCUCAGAAAUUGCGUGGGGGUGGGUGUCUUUCGUGGUUCAGGACGGUCAAGCUGCCGCUGAAAACACAGAAGAGACCACGCUAAUGAAACCCUCUACAGAGGCAUGCUUAAACCCAGCAAGGCGGAAAAGCCAGUGCCCUUUCCUUUCCGCCCGGAUGCAAGACUGGAUGGAAGGCAUCCAACGUGAUGAAAUACGGCGUAGAAGAAUAGUCUGGGCAGAAGGAGCACUGGGUACUAAAGUUGCAUGACCAAAGAGAUCCGAGAGCUGUCUGCCACACCCCCUUCCUGCCUGGUCCCCUUUCUGACUGGACUGGUCGCUCACUUGGACGAUGAUGAACACUACUGCAGCGCCCCCUGCUGUGGGGAUGCUACAGGGCCUAGAAAACAAGUCGGUGCAGGACUGACUUGUCCCCCCAUUGGAAGAGCAGCACCUGACCAGCAAACUCUUCAAAGAUACUAAAGAAAGCGGAGCACCUGGGUAUGUGGCAGCGAUCUGAAAAGUUUGAGUGCCUGCAGAAUAAAGAUGUCUGACUUUACAAGGGAAUCUUUUAGACCCUGACAAAUGUGGGUUCUACCUGCAACAGGCAAAUGUUGAUUUGAUCAAAAUAUUCUGUGCAUGUAGGAAGUUCUAAAAUAAUAUAUUAAAGACAAUGGUUCCUGUUUUGCAUGCUCCCCGA